rfam:Ovis aries breed Texel chromosome 15, whole genome shotgun sequence.
UCCCUGGUAGUCCAGGGGUUAGGACUCUGCACUUCCACUGUAGGGGGCACAAGUUCGAUCCCUGGUUGGGGAA